CUGGCGUCAGUGCUGGGGAGCAGCCCCCAGGCGGGCCUCUGCUCUGGCCCCUUCUGGGGCCCGCACUCUCGCCCCGGGCCCG
rnacentral:pre_miRNA from 1 species